CCAAAAGAAGGGGGGCAUACACCCCGAGAGGAUGCCAGUGUGGUCCAUUUCCGUUAUGAGAUGGCCUGGCCCACGAUACAAAAAUGGAGAAAAACUGGGCAUGUCGGACGGCCCAUCUUCAAAUUAAAGACCAAACAAACCUAGCCCGCCAGCCCGUAUAGCUAACUUGACUAGGUCCGCAAAGCAGCAAGGCGGGUUUUUCUAUAAAAAAAAAGCAGCAACGUGGGCACCUAAAAAACAACGCAGUCAGUAAAAAAACAAAAAUGGUUGGUUUUCCUUCUCUUCAGAUCAAUCACGAGCCUGAGACGGAUUCAUUUCUUUCCAUCAAUCGAUCGAGUCUUAGGCAUCUAGCCGUGCGGGCCAAUUUGGCGUGACUGGAGUGGAAACAUGGGCCCUGAUCCACAUGUGUUGGUCCAACCUGAUGCCUAAGGUCUUUUAGAUGGUAUAAGUGCCACGAGCUAGUGUUUUCUUUCCACCCUUGUAUUUCCUUCACCGCAUAUGAUGGCAUCCUUCCUUUCCACCCUUGUAUUUUCUUCCACGCUCAGUUCAAAUAAUUUGUUUGUCCUACACCUAUGAGAAUGCUGACCACCUGGUUCCACCACAAAAACCAACCACUGGAGUUACGCUCAGUUCGCUCGCUCAGUUCAAAUAAUUGAAUGCUCUGCAUUUUGAUUUACCGAUAAACACUGGCAAUCCCAAGUAUUUUUCAGAUCUCGUCUCGUGGUUGAGUUGAAGGAUUGCCAUGAUCUCCUGUUUCUCCUGAGAAGGUGUGUUCUUGCUAAACAUUAUUGCAGAUUUUUCUUUGUUAAUGACCUGGCCCGAGCAAGCAUCAUACUAUCUUGUUUAGAAUUACUUGAAAGAAUUGGAGAAGGGUUGCCGCGUUAGAAGGAGAGCCGAACUAGGGAAGGAUCCAAUCUCCAUUGAGAUAGAUAAACAACAUCUGAUUAAAGCAGAGGUGGUAUCUUAGCUCCUAUAAAAGAGCCUUGUGGUGGUGGCCGUACGUGACACACCCAACCAGUAUUACAUGUAGGACUUCCCACCGUCUGUCUCCCAACCCUAAUCGUCUCUCCCGUGUCUUCCUGCACUCCCCUCCCCCAUAGCAGCGCACCAGCACCUCGCCCCGGCGUAUUCGCCUGCCUCCCCACACCGCGCCGCCCCUCCGGCCUCCGCCCUGGCCACGGGCUAGCAUCUCGCCUCGGCAUAUUUGCCGGCCUCCUCUCACAACGCCUCCCCUCUGCCCUAGCCAACCCAGCACGCUCUGCCCCCUCCUCUCACGCGGCUGGCCCGCCACAGAUCCUCCAGGCGCCAGUCAACGACCAAGAAGAAGUAGCGAGCAGCGAGGGGAUAAAGGAGGCCGCCGGGGCCGGCGAAUUGAUGUGCAGUUGGUGUGGACGAAUCAGGCUGGGGCUCCCUACCCCCCUAUCUUUCUCAUUCGUGGAGGAAGACGCAGCCACGGAGCCUUCUCGUCUCCACCACCACCGGCACAAUUGAGUUCGUCACGGCCGCCCACGCCAGUGAAAUCUUCUCCACCGAGGGGCAUAAAGGUUUGUUCUUUUGUUUGGUUGCUAUCCUACCGACCUUGUUUCGAGGACUGCUGCUGCUAAUGUUCAAUGAGCCGGCUCGCUUGGUCAUUAGGGUUUCGAAAUAUUUGGGAGAAGCCACACUAAUUACAGGUUUCGUUCUGCCUAAUUUGAUUUUCCGAGUCACGGUUCAGUGAAAUUUCUAAUUUUAGGAUUUGUUGGAUGCAUAACCUGAAAGUCCUUGGUGCUCUUCGUCUAAUAGGGUAUAAAAAUGUGCUGCCAUUUUAGUAUUUAUACCUUUCAUGAGGUUGUUUUGCUGAAUUGGUAUGAAAUAUCAUAAAUUGUAUCGGCCCAAAGGUGAACGGAGCGCCGCUGCUGAUUGACAUCUUAAGAUAAGAAGUAACAAUCAUUUAUCAUGCAGCCUGUCAAGCCCAAUGGAAGAAGUAAUUUUUUUACCAUGAUUAAAUGUUGUAACUAUGCUGUUGCCUGUUGAAUGAUCUCCUCCACUGCCUUGGUUCAUUUUCUCAACAACUUAAUUAUGUACGACUCAUGAAAACUUCCUUGGUAAAAUCAAAGAAGAGAUGUUUGUUUGCAGCUCUUGUGAAUUGAACUCAGCUUGUGUCAUUGACUCUACAUAUUUUAUGCUAUGACCAAAUUCAGUGUCAUUUAGUUUCAGUGGCAUUCUAAUGUAACAGGCUUAGCACUCAUGUUAAUGCUCUAAUAUCUUGCUGAAAAAUUGUUGAAGAGAGCUGUACAAAAAUAAUAUUCAGGUCUAUACCAGCUGAGCUUUGGAGUCUCAAGAGCCUUAUUAGCUUGGACUUCUAUAACAGCUACAUAUGCAGGGACAAUACCAAAAGAACUCAGCAACUGAAAUCCUUAGUUUUCCUGUGGGUACUUUUCCGUUAUUUCUAUUGUAACAAUGUUUGCAUUUGCACCUUUUUUUUCUGCAUAUGCAGGCAUAGAAUAUUCCUUCGCAAAAAAAGGCAUAGAAUAUUGUUAAAAUGAUUGUUCCAACGACCAAUUUAACAAUUGGAAUCCAUCAGUUCCAUUCUUUCUAAUAGAAAAAUGAAGUCAAAAGCAUGAGUAAUAAAAGUUUGAACUUUGAAUUGUCAAUGAGAAAUUGGUAACCAGCUAUCUAGGAUAAGCCCUAUCAUUUUUUGCACACUGUUCUGUUUAUUGUAAGCGCCUCACAAUUGAUUCUUCAAGUAGUUUUUGACAUUUUAUUGCUCACCUUAUUGGAUAAUUUCUAUUGGUGAAGAUCUGAUAUCUUAUUGACUGCCCUAAUAUUGCUAGCGUCGCCACCAGUCAAGUCUCCUCCACCGCAUGCUCCAGUGAGCAAUCCCCCUCCACCACUGCCUGCUCCGGGUUACAGCAGUCUAUCGUUCACAUCGGUAAACAUGUGCGAGAAAGGAGAAAGCUCAAAAGGAUGAAAGCGUCCUCGUGGUUCUGGUCGCUCUGCUGGCCUCACACUAUAAAAAAGACAAGCAAGGCAGAACCGUGAUAAAAAGCACCGUCAAAGUUUGACACUCGAGGCUAGGGAAGAGAUAAAUGCUCGCAGAAGAGCGCACACGGAAAGUUUAACACUUGAAGAGAGGCAGGCUGCUAAUGCCCACCGAACGGCGGCUAGGCAAAACUUGCCAAUUGGGGACAGAGAAGAGGCCAAUGCUCAUCGCAGGGCUGCUAGGAAAAACAUAUCACCUUAGGCAAGGCAGCCACUACUAGAUUAUUGUAAGGCAAGCUACGCAGCUAGGGGAGACACUCCGUGCACAGAGUUCUUAACUAGAACACUGUCUGCAUAUUACAACCUUUAGUAGGGUGCACUUUGGUCCAGAUGUUGAUGUUGCACGUCAGAUGAAGAAGAGGAUCAACAAUGACCUUAGCUCCAUGGAUCCGCGUUAAGUCAGCAUGAAUGGUGGUUGGAACCUUUUGCAGUCACCUUUUAAGCCAUGACACUAGGAGAAGCCUUGGGGAAAAAGAACACACAUCUGUGUGCAUCGAUGAAAAUGAACAUUUUGCAACCACCUUUCGAUGCUUAAAUGUUUUUAUUUGUUAUUAUGGCAUGUUAGUGUCCUGAACUAUGUUAUGGUGGACUGGAAAAUAUUGUCGUUGUGAUGGAUGAAUAUGUAUUAAUUCUACCUUGUCACAAGUUAUGAUAUUUGUGACCUGAAUCAUGUUGUGUUCCUCGUGAAUCAUCAGAAUGCUUUGAUACUUUCUGUUGGUAGUCUCAUUGCAAACGGACAUGAGCUUGCUUUGGGAGUUUAUUUGUUACUUUUUGUUGCGUUGUGUGUUACAUAGCUAAUCAAAGAUUAAAUAAAUCGAAGUAAAUAGUUUUUGUGAAAAUCAAACAUCAAAAUAAGUGUUAUGAUUUUGUGGCGGUGUAAGUGGUUCCGUGCCAUCGCACGGACACCUUACUAGUAAUCUAUAAUGAGUGGUAUACUGGUAACUGGUAUGUAAGAGAACAUGAAAUGGAAGACUGGGUGCAAAAAUAAUUGAUACGUUGCACGUUGCAACCAAAAAGAGAAGAUGAACUGAGCGUAUUGUCACAUUGAUUUUUUUUAACUAUUUUAUUUUUCUCGUACACUAUGAUAUA